rnacentral:lncRNA from 1 species
AAAUCAAAGACUAUGUACUAUAAAACCCAAAAGGAUUCACCAACUACUAAACCUAGGCUCUGAUACCACUUGAAGGAAAUUUUAUGAAAAACUUGUGCACUUGAGCAACAUCUAUUGCAUGCAAUUAACAUUUAAAGGCGGAAUCAUGCUUGUAUGCACUCAAAACAAAACAUUACCCAUGAAAUUCAAAGCCUAGUAGAAAGGUGAACCAUGACUCAACUCAAGAACAUAGUGAGUUGAGAUAUUUUAUACCUUUGUUGAUUCCUCUUUGCAUAAGCAAAGG